rnacentral:tRNA from 1 species
GCUGGCUGGCUAGCUCGGGUAGGGCUAACGCGUUCGCUACGGGUAAGGAGCGGGUGUCGACGUUGGUUCGGUUCCAGACUGAGAGCCAGGCC